UACAUCACAUGCGAUGUGUGCAUGGGCAUUUAAUAGGAUAAAGUUAAGAGGUUGUAUUGUCUUCAAUAGUGAAGCAUGUCAUCUUAACUAAUGAAGGCAUAAUCACAGAUUUCACUUAGUCAUGUUUGACUUCUGAGCUCAAUAUGAUUUUAAUUGUCUUGGAGUAACUCUCAGUUUGACAUAGUUCUUAAUCAGAAUGAUAUUGAGUCUAAUGUUUGGAUUACAGGGGCAACUUUGUUUGUGACAACAAACACAUGCUGAUUGGACUAUCUGAUGGAUCACUGUAUAACAUAUCUUGGAAGGGCGAGUUCUGUGGUGCCUUUUUCCUCGAUAUGCUGCCGAAUGAUGGCAGCCGACUG